CCACACGAGAGUAAAACCAACUCCUCUCGCGAGUCCUUCGGGGCAAAAUACCGGGUAGAAAGUCAAAUUACACGGUUUCUUGCCUUCGCCUUCGCCUUCGCCUUCUUUACACUGCCUUCUUCAUUCCACUCUAUUCAUGUGGAUCCAGUGGGCUUUGACCACGUAUGAACAGGUGGAUAAAGGAGGAAAAUGGCGGAAGAUGAGG